rnacentral:rRNA from 1 species
UAAGACAGAGGUGGCGAGCGUUGUUCGGAAUUACUGGGCUUAAAGGGCGCGUAGGCGGUGGGACAAGUCUGAGGUGGAAUCCGGAGGCUUAACCUCCGAACUGCCUUGGAAACUGUACUGCUUGAGUUAGACAGGGGAAGGCGGAAUUCCUGGUGUAGCGGUGAAAUGCGUAGAUAUCAGGAGGAAGGCCUGUGGCGAAGGCGGCCUUCUGGGUCUUAACUGACGCUGAGGCGCGAAAGCGUGGGGAGCAAACAGGAUUAGAUACCCUGGUAGUCCACGCCCUAAACGGUGGGCACUAGGUGUGGGAUUCGUAAGGGUUCCGUGCCGAAGGGAAACCAUUAAGUGCCCCGCCUGGGGAGUACGGCCGCAAGGUUGAAACUUAAAGGAAUUGACGG